AAAAAGACAAACCCUAGGUUUUUGUGCCAACGUUUGACGCUUCGUCUUAUAUAAAAUUUUAUUAUAAUUAGUAUUUUUAUUGUUGUUAGAUGAUAAAAUAUGAUUAAUACUUUAUGCGUGACUUAUUUUUUUAUUUUUUUUAUAUUUUUUUAAAUAAGACGGAUGGUUAAACAUUAGACACGGAAACCAGGGUUUGUCUUUUU
rfam:Oryza barthii chromosome 9, whole genome shotgun sequence.